rnacentral:rRNA from 1 species
GACGAACGCUGGCGGCGUGCCUAACACAUGCAAGUCGAACGGAGUUAUUCCUUCGGGGAUAACUUAGUGGCGGACGGGUGAGUAACGCGUGAGUAACCUGCCUUUCAGAGGGGGAUAACGUUCUGAAAAGAUCGCUAAUACCGCAUGAGACUACAGAGCUGCAUGGCUCAGUGGUCAAAGGAGCAAUCCGCUGAAAGAUGGACUCGCGUCCGAUUAGAUGGUUGGCGGGGUAACGGCCCACCAAGUCGACGAUCGGUAGCCGGACUGAGAGGUUGAACGGCCACAUUGGGACUGAGACACGGCCCAGAC